AUGAACGCUGGCGGCGUGCCUAAUACAUGCAAGUCGAGCGAACGGACGAGGAGCUUGCUUCUCUGAUGUUAGCGGCGGACGGGUGAGUAACACGUGGAUAACCUACCUAUAAGACUGGGAUAACUUCGGGAAACCGGAGCUAAUACCGGAUGAUAUUUUGAACCGCAUGGUUCAAAAGUGAAAGACGGUCUUGCUGUCACUUAUAGAUGGAUCCGCGCUGCAUUAGCUAGUUGGUAAGGUAACGGCUUACCAAGGCAACGAUGCAUAGCCGACCUGAGAGGGUGAUCGGCCACACUGGAACUGAGACACGGUCCAGACUCCUACGGGAGGCAGCAGUAGGGAAUCUUCCGCAAUGGGCGAAAGCCUGACGGAGCAACGCCGCGUGAGUGAUGAAGGUCUUCGGAUCGUAAAACUCUGUUAUUAGGGAAGAACAUAUGUGUAAGUAACUGUGCACAUCUUGACGGUACCGAAUCAGAAAGCCACGGCUAACUACGU
rnacentral:rRNA from 1 species